CCUACGGGAGGCUGCAGUGGGGAAUAUUGCACAAUGGGGGAAACCCUGAUCCAGCGACGCCGCGUGCGUGAAGAAGUAAUUCGUUAUGUUAAGCUCUAUCUGUAGGGAAGAAAAUGACGGUACCUGAGUAAGAAGCCCCGGCUAACUACGUGCCAGCAGCCGCGGUUAUACGCAGGGGGCAAGCGUUAUCCGGAUUUACUGGGUGUAAAGGGAGCGUAGACGGCAGUGCAAGUAUGGAGUGAAAGGCGGGGGCUCAACCCGCGGACUGCUGUGGAAACUGUCCGGCUGGAGUGCGGGAGAGGUAGGUGGAAGUCCUAGUGUAGCGGUGAAAUGCGUAGAUAUGACGAAGAACACCAGUGGCGAAGGCAGCUUACUGGAGUGGAACUGACGUUGAGGCUCGAAAGCGUGGGGAGCGAACAGGAUUAGAUACCCGAGUAGUC
rnacentral:rRNA from 1 species